rnacentral:rRNA from 1 species
GACGAACGCUGGCGGCGUGCCUAAUACAUGCAAGUGGGACGCAAGGACACACACUGUGCUUGCACACCGUGUUUUCUUGAGUCGCGAACGGGUGAGUAACGCGUAGGUAACCUGCCUAUUAGCGGGGGAUAACUAUUGGAAACGAUAGCUAAUACCGCAUAAUAUUAAUUAUUGCAUGAUAAUUGAUUGAAAGAUGCAAGCGCAUCACUAGUAGAUGGACCUGCGUUGUAUUAGCUAGUUGGUAAGGUAAGAGCUUACCAAGGCGACGAUACAUAGCCGACCUGAGAGGGUGAUCGGCCACACUGGGACUGAGACACGGCCCAGACUCCUACGGGAGGCAGCAGUAGGGAAUCUUCGGCAAUGGACGAAAGUCUGACCGAGCAACGCCGCGUGAGUGAAGAAGGUUGUCGGAUCGUAAAGCUCUGUUGUAAGUCAAGAACGUGUGUGAGAGUGGAAAGUUCACACAGUGACGGUAGCUUACCAGAAAGGGACGGCUAACUACGUG